GGGCGUCUCUAUCUCAUUGCGAGAGGAGGCGCACCUAGAGCGUACACGCUGAUACCCGAAAGAUGGUGAACUAUGCCUGGCCAGGACGAAGCCAGGGGAAACCCUGGUGGAGGUCCGCAGCGAUUCUGACGUGCAAAUCGAUCGUCGGAGCUGGGUUUAGGGGCGAAAGACCAAUCGAACCAUCUAGUAGCUGGUUCCCUCUGAAGUUUCCCUCAGGAUAGCUUGCGCUCGGUUAAACGAGUCUCAUCCGGUAGAGCGAAUGAUUAGAGGCCUUGGGGUCGAAACGACCUCAACCUAUUCUCAAACUCCAAAUAGAUGAGAACCCCGGCUUUCUUGAACUCUGUUUAUGAAGCCGGGGGCUCGGAUCAGAGUGCCAAGUGGGCCAAUUUU
rnacentral:rRNA from 1 species